rnacentral:rRNA from 1 species
CUGGGCUCGUGUGUCGAUGAAGAGCGCAGCCAACUGUGUGAAUUAAUGCAAACUGCAUACUGCUUUGAACAUCGACAUCUUGAACGCAUAUUGCGGCCAUGGGUUAGCCUGUGGCCACGCCUGUCCGAGGGUCGGCUUAUAAACUAUCACGACGCCCAAAAAGUCGUGGCUUGGGUUUUGCCAGCUGGCGUGAUCUCCUCUAUGAGUAAUCAUGUGAGGUGCCAGAUCUAUGGCGUUUCCCUAAUGUAUCCGGAUGCACCCUUGUCUUGGCAGAAAGCCGUGGUGAGGUGCAGUGGCGGAAUCGUGGUUUAAUAAUCGGGUUGGUACUCAGUUGUCAGUGUGUUCGGCGAUCCCCUAGUCGGCACACUCAUGAUUUCUGGGAUAAUUCCAUACCAGGCACGUUCCGUUACUGUUACUUUGUCAUUGGUUUGAUGCUGAACU